GUUGCUCUGGACCAGUUCCUCACUUUACAGGUGGGGCCACCAAGGUCUAGAGCAAGAGGGUCAUCCAUAACACUAGAGGGCUCAUCUUGACCUUGUUGCUGACUAUGAAUGGCUGGGACAAAGUGGCUUCUUUUUUUGGGCUUCAGUGUCCCUCUCUGGGAACAGAGGAUGUUGGGACAGUUGAUCUCUAGAGUCCCGUCCAGCCCUAAUGGCAUAUCACAGGUGUGACUUAACUUACUGGGACAUCACUUGAGCCUCAAGAUGCUUCUGAACAGCGGUUAGGUUUGUUUUGCAGUUGAAAUGACUGGAUUCUGUAUUGCAAUGGACAGCAAAGGAGAGAUGUGUGGGAUAGUUCAGGACCUACAGAGCCAGUCUUUGGUGGAAGAUGUGCCCUGUUUUGUCCUGGGUGGUGGCAGAAGGAAGUUCACCAGUGAAACAGCUGCAAAACAGCAGAAGAGCCCAUCUGGGAAAAGUCCAAUGGACUGGGGCCACCCUUUUUGCUCACAAUCUCAUCCUCUAGUUCCUGCCUUCCUUUGCCCAACCCCUCCAAGUCAUCUCUUUUUCAUUCCCUUCCUACCCUCUCCAAUCAUCUGUAUCAAGUCUUUCAAAGGUGAGCUCAUUCCCUCUGCCUACCCAAGACGUACAUGCAACCCACCCACCUCCUUCCCAUUUGAGUUUAGUGACCCAGAGCUUGUAAGGGUGUUGUCACAAUAUAGGCAACCAGAAGUGAUGUGUGAAUAGAAAGGGUUGGAGAUGAGGCUGUAGGUGAUGCCUUCCUGUACAAAAUUGCAUGGGGUGUUGUGGUGCUAAGCCACAUUAGUCUUUAAAAUGGCUAUUUCAUCAGCAACUUGAUAAGAGCUCAAUAUGAGGAUGAAGAGAAUCUGUGGGCUAGAAGAGAAACUGAGGCCUAGAGCAAAGAGGUAAUGUGUCCAAGACUCAUGGCUAAUGGGCCCUUCCUGGCCUGGAUAUUUACUCAGUACUUGGCUUAGAGAGGAUCCUGGGUGCAGCCACUUUGUUUUUCAAAUUAGAAAACUGAGGUGUGGAGACACCAAUGACUUGCCUACGGUCAUAGAGCUUGUUAUACAAAGAUUAGGACUACACUCAGGACUCCCGACUCUUCUUGUUAGAAUACCUCAGCUGCAUCAGUCUGCCCCCUGAAGUGGCUUUAUAAGAUGGUAGGGCUCAUGCUAAGGAUUCUGAAGAGGAAACGUCCAAAUGAAUAGACAAAAAGAUGAAAUUAGAGAGAUAUCAAACCUCAGUGUUCCCUUGGGGCUUUUCCUUUCCCUUUCUUUGAUACCUCCCAGCUCCCCUUCCUCCUCCCUCACACAGCCCUCCUGGGGGUGGCCUCCACCGUGGCUCUGGGCCUUCUGCUUGGCCUCUUCUGCUCCCCCUUCCUGGGGCACUUGUCUACUCACAUCAUUUCAGCUCUUGUGCCAUGCAGACACGCCCUCCAACUCAACUGUGCUCCAGGCCUGGACUUCACAUUUCUUUCCACAGCUGGUUCUGGGCUAUUUCCAUAUGCAAAUAUGCUUAGCUCAGCCAAAAGUCAAAAUUGGAAUUCGUCUUGCCUCUGAGAAUCCGCAGCCUUUUCCUACACCCGUUUCCUUCAGUGCUUCCUCAGACUCCCAAUCCUCCACACUCAGAACUUUUAAGGUCCCCAGAGGCUGGGGGAGGUGGGAGGGGGGAGUUGGUGUUGAACGGGUCUAGAGCUUCAGUUUGGGAAGAUGAAAAAAAAGUUCUGGAGAUAGGCAGUGGUGGCAGUUGCACAACAAUGUGAAUGUAUUUUAUUCCACUGGACUGUACACUUACAAUGGCUAAGAUGGUAAAUUUUAUGUUAUAUAUAUUUUACCACAAUUAAGAAAACACAAAACAAAAACUUUCAAGUCAUCCUUGACUCAUGGCUACUCUGCUCUCUCCUCCCCAACUCGCUUUGUUACGAUGUCAUGCUGAGUUUGCACUUAGUGGAGGUUCCUCAGAUGUUCACAUCCUGCAGCAUCACCGAGGCAGCUUGUGAGUUAUCGAUUCCCAAGCUCCUCUCCCCUCUUUAUUCUGGAGGUGGAGCCUAGAACUUGCAUUUAAACAAACUUAGCGACAAACCCGAUAUGGACAGACACAGACCACACUGGGAGAAACACGGCCUUUCAGCGUCUUGUGGUGUUGUCCCUUUGUCUCCUUUCUGUGACCCCUUUCCAUACCCCGGCUGGCCCGCAUCACCUCACACCUGGGUUGCAGUAACAGCUGGCCUGUCUUUGGCCAGCCUUUCUCUGCUCCAGCCUCUUCAGCUGCCAGGACCCAUCUUUUGCAAAUAUCCUUGGCAUCGCAUCACUUCCCUGCUCUGAAGCCUACCAUGGCUCCCUCGGACCUAUUAAAUCCUAUCUCAAUUCACUUGGAGCCAGCCCAGUCAGCUCCCAUCCUCCCUCUUUCCUCCUCCCCUCGCUCCCAUCCUUCCAGGCUCAUUGGUCAUUCCUCAUCUUAUAUUAACCCCUCUGCUAGUUUGGGGCUGUUUGCUUUCUGUCUCUCUCCUCACUGUCCCUGGAACACUUCUGCUACACAGGAGGAAUUAUUGCAACUGUUGAGAUUCUUCAUCCUGUUUUUCCAGCCAGCUCCUCCCUGGAAACCACGUCUGCUUGGAAUAGAGAACUGAUGGAGCUCUCUGCUAAACCUUGCCUGAUCUAGUGGAGGUGGUUAAGUAUUAAGUAUUUGGGUUCCAACAAGCUUCUCUGCAUGAGACAACCUGAGUAACUGGGCUGUCUACAAAACUCUAAUUAUGUCCAUUAAUUUUCUAACCAACUAGGAGGAGAUGAGGUGAGAUCUGAAAGCAUGUUUUUUCCAGAAUAAAUAGGAUGAUACCAGGACUUCAAAAUACCAUAAGGAACAGCAGUUUGUGUACCUACUUUCUCUUGGUCUUUCUAGAAUGCUCCUCCUACAGUCCAGGUCCCAGUGGCCCAACUUCCUCCUCUGCUGACUCCCUGGGUUCCUCAUGGGAGCCCAACCGGAGCACCUUCCUGUGUGGCGGUUCCCAGCCAGAGAGCUGUGCACUUUGCACCCACCAGUCCUUGUCUGUAAAUAAUCUACCACCCACAUUUCUGUUCUACUUUUCAAACCCACUCCUAUGCUAUUGUGGCAAAUACAAUAAAUUCCUUUAAAAGUCCCACUGAAUUCAGUCACUGCUUGUCAUUAUGUGUUUCUCUUCCCCCUUCCCCUCAAUGAAUACUGAAAGUUCAACUACUAACGGGCUGGGGGAGGUGUGAGAAUAUUUUUGACAUUGAAAAGGGGCCCUUGUUGUCACAAAGGCUGGGGACCACUGCCUCAUGGGACACGUGGGAGCCGCGGGUGCGGCGCUGAGCUCUCUGUUUUCUUGUCUGUCAAAUGGAGGUAAAUCAUAAGGGUCUGUUUUUCUAACGGCAGGAAACAGAAUAUUCUGCAUUCAUGAGGAGGGGGUGGCUGAACAGUGUCUUGUCCAAGUGUGGGGAGGGCUGCCAAGGGGAUCGGGUGAGAUAACAGCUAGCGGGAGCCCUGGGUGAAGGAGCAUGCCCAGGCAGGGAGGCCUGCUUCUUGUUCUUUUCCUUGCUCUGGAUCCAGCUGCCCCAGCUGGGUCCAGAACCCCACAGCCUGUGAAGGGCUUCCCAGGAGCAAUGUAUUCUUUCGCCUUUCCCCGCCCCUACUUGGUUUUCUGUGGAACAAUAACAAAAGAGCUGCUCCUGUUAAGUGACUAGCAAACAGCCACAGAGUUCCUCUUAUCUAGUCUAGCAGCUGCUGUGGCCUCAGAGGGUGCAGUGUUUGUCUCUGUUUAGUCAGGGUUGCCUAGGAAACAAAGUUGUUCUUGUUUCUCACAGUGUGACUGUGGGCAAGUAUUUUCCCUUUUCUUGCAGGGAAGGGCUGGAUGAGCAGAAAGGGCUGUGUGUUUGCUGGACCAUCCUCUGGCUUUCUGUUUUUCUUCAGUUAGUCCUUGCUUGGCUGGAAAUCAGUGGGGGACAUCUCCAGAUAAGCUGAAGAGUUGAGAAGUCCUCUCAGUUUGUCCGCAUGUGGGGAGGGGCUUGGGAGUUAGUGGGGACUGGGGACAGUUGGGUUUGGGUUGGGGCAGCUGCCUAGUCCAAAGCUUAUAGCUGCUCCAGCAGCUGUGAAA